UACGUAGGGUGCGAGCGUUAAUCGGAAUUACUGGGCGUAAAGCGUGCGCAGGCGGUUCUGAAAGUCAGCUGUGAAAGCCCCGGGCUUAACCUGGGAAUGGCGGUUGAGACUACAGGACUAGAAUCUGGCAGAGGGGGGUGGAAUUCCACGUGUAGCAGUGAAAUGCGUAGAGAUGUGGAGGAACACCGAUGGCGAAGGCAGCCCCCUGGGCUGAGAUUGACGCUCAGGCACGAAAGCGUGGGGAGCAAACAGG
rnacentral:rRNA from 1 species